AAAAAAAAAUCGUUCUUUUCUUUGCUCAAUCCUCCUUUAUUUUAGCAAAAUGAAACGAAAUACACACACAACUAACCAUAUUCCUGCACUGUCCACAUAUUCAUCAAAUAUUACACAUGCAUUUCAAGAAAUUCCCUGUGGAAACAUAAGAAGUUCGUUAAUUAUUCAAGAAUUUGCAUGGAAGAAACAGUCAGAGCAACCAAAUAAACCAUCAUUACAAAUGAUAGUACGUUAAAACUAUAUGCAAAUAAUUAAAUUAGAAAAACAAAAAUUAUGACACAACAUUCGAAGGGCACAUUAUAUUUAUUUUGCAUCCAAUAAAAAAAGGGAUCAAAAUGGAUAAAAUUGGACAAAGAAAAAGAAUGAUGAAAUGGGUACCUGUUAGUUUUUCGAAAUUCGUCGUUUAAUUAAAAAUGAAAGGUUGGUGCUUUUAGAUAUCAAGUUUUUGGGAUCAAAGCAAAGAAACCCAAAAGAGAAAGUAGAGUUAAAAUUUGGUUUUUGUUUUGUGAAUUUGGUGAAGACAGACAGAGGGAGGGAGGGAGGUGGGAGGGAGGGAGACUUUGCUUAAAAUAACGCGGGCAUAACUGCAAACUAACUAAU
rnacentral:lncRNA from 1 species